AACGCUAGCUACAGGCUUAACACAUGCAAGUCGAGGGGCAGCAUGGUCUUAGCUUGCUAAGGCUGAUGGCGACCGGCGCACGGGUGAGUAACACGUAUCCAACCUGCCGUCUACUCUUGGCCAGCCUUCUGAAAGGAAGAUUAAUCCAGGAUGGGAUCAUGAGUUCACAUGUCCGCAUGAUUAAAGGUAUUUUCCGGUAGACGAUGGGGAUGCGUUCCAUUAGAUAGUAGGCGGGGUAACGGCCCACCAAGCCUUCGAUGGAUAGGGGUUCUGAGAGGAAGGUCCCCCACAUUGGAACUGAGACACGGUCCAAACUCCUACGGGAGGCAGCAGUGAGGAAUAUUGGUCAAUGGACGAGAGUCUGAACCAGCCAAGUAGCGUGAAGGAUGACUGCCCUAUAGGUUGUAAACUUCUUUUAUACGGGAAUAAAGUGAGGCACGUGUGCCUUUUUGUAUGUACCGUAUGAAUAAGGAUCGGCUAACUCCGUGCCAGCAGCCGCGGUAAUACGGAGGAUCCGAGCGUUAUCCGGAUUUAUUGGGUUUAAAGGGAGCGUAGGCGGACGCUUAGGUCAGUUGUGAAAGUUUGCGGCUCAACCGUAAAAUUGCAGUUGAUACUGGGUGUCUUGAGUACAGUAGAGGCAGGCGGAAUUCGUGGCGUAGCGGUGAAAUGCUUAGAUAUCACGAAGAACUCCGAUUG
rnacentral:rRNA from 1 species